rnacentral:lncRNA from 1 species
AUGGAAGCACUCCAGUGCAAUACAGACGAGCAUAUAUGCAUCUGAAUCCAAUACAGCCUUCAUUACUUGCAUGGUGUUGGCACCUUUUUGGGGCGCCAAUCACUCAACAAGAACCCAGCGGCGGUGCUCUCUGGUCAGGCGCGGACGGUCCGCGGCACAGGGCCGGACGGUCCGCGACCUGACGCAGGGCUAGGGUUCCCUGCCUGAUGGCCGGACGGUCCGCGCCCUAGGGCCGGACGGUCCGCGACCUGGUGACAGGGUCGUCUUCCUUCUCCUUGCUAGAAUCUAGAUCUCGUCCCCUGGGGGGAAAAGAUCUUAAGGUGCUCUGGGUCGACAGGUCACCCGGGGCGCCGAGACGACGUGGAGCCGCCUAGGAAUUAAGAGAUCAAUUCGAGGAAGAGGUCUUGGAUGGACAACUAGAUCUUGCCCCCCGGGAGGGGUGAGAUCCUAGGGUUGUCUUGGGAUCGGCAGACCACCCAAGACGGAUCUAGACGACGUAGAGUCGAAUAGGGAUGGAGGGUGGAUAUGUGGAAGACUACAACUAGAACUAUGCUACAUCUACUCCUAGGGCAGGAAAAGUAAAUAAGGUAAUUGGUUCGAUUGGAAUGUGUUCGGGGGUUCUCAAUCGGCCGUACCCCUUUAUAUUUAUAGGGGAGGAGGUAUGGACCUUUUCCUAAGAGAUAGCCAACAAACUCCCACGUGAUUAGAUGGAUAACCACGCACGAGAUAAGGAUAAACAUCCGAGUUAAUCUAAUCUCGGGACACGCGGACCGUCCGGGCCUAAGGGUCGGACCGUCCGCUCGUUUUGGUGUCCAACAUAUGCCCCCUGCCUUUUGGUGGAGCUUGGCAAACCAAAAGCAUCAGCGAAAACUUCGAAAACAAUUGACCUCAUGAGCUUUUGUUCCCAAAGUAAGGACUCAGCUCGAUGCAAGUCAUCGGCUCUUGCGAUCAGAUAAUAUAAAUACUUGAUGGAACUUUAAUGCACAGAGGCCGUUUUAGAUCACAUCCUCUUCGGCCAUGUCUACCUGAUCAACCUGUAAUAGGCAAAAACUUGUGUUGCCCCCCAGCCCAAAUAAGCAAACGGAUUGGGCCAGUAAUACGAAUUCAUCGCCGUACCACCCCACACAUGAGCAGGACAACACAUCGGCGAUGGAUAGAACGGGUCGCACCAUGCUAUCCCCGAAGGAGGAUGACAAGGCGAUCUUGGUUGAGCUACCCUUUGGGUCCGUUUAGUCGGCUUUUGCUUUCGCACAGGUCGCCCUUUUGACUUCGUUUGUUUUAUUGGCCAGUUGUGUGGAACGGCCUUCUUCAUAUAUUUGGCAAGCAACUGACCAAAAGUAGGGCCGACUCUACUGAGUCGUCCAGACGUCUUAGUAGUGUUUUGUUUCCUAACACUUGUGUUGGAACGUUGUGGUCCGAUGAUCUGAGGUUGCUGCUUCUGACCAUCUGCGAACCGUCCGGCCAUCAUAGCCGGACUGUCCGCGCCUGUCUCGGACUGUUCGGCCUUAGUACCUGGAUCAUCCGGCGUACGCAGGACAGGUGAUCGUGAUUGGGUGUCCGAUCGUGCUUGCCCCUCGGUGCCUCCGGUCUUUCUUUUGUCCGGAGCCUUCAGAGUAACCAUUCUACGUGACAUAUUUGGUGUGCGAGGAUCACCAAUGACGAUAUUUUUAUUUUUACUUUUAUCGGCCGCACAAGGCCGAAUUAUGGCAUUUUUGCUCGUUGGCUGUAAUGUGGUGACAGGAACAGGUGGCCUGUCACUUUUCACCUCUUUUUGAAACCUCAACCGGCCUUCGUUUAUAGCCGAUUGUAUUUGCCGGUGGAAGACGGCACAAUCAUUGGUGUUAUGGAGAAAGGAGCCAUGCCAUUUGCAAUAAACGCGCCCUUUUAAUUGUUCAACCGGAGGAAUUACAUGUGACAAUUUAAUAUUAUCAUGUUUAAGCAACUCAUCAAAUAUUUUAUCACAUUUAGUAAUAUUGAAUGUGAACUUAACUUUUUCCUUUUGUGUCGAGUGUGGGUGAGAGCGAACAGAAGGUUUGGCCUCAGUGGGCCAAACAAGCUCAGGGACAUGUGACUUUUUUGGUUCUUGGGGCUUGGGUGGCCGGUUAUAUUUAUGUCGGCCUUCCGCACUAGGCAGAUCACAGGUGACUUCUGGUGCUCCGGACGGUCCGACCUGCACAGUCGGACGGUCUGCGGGUGGAUCGGACGGUCUGGUACUAUCCUCGGACUGUCCGGUCACGUCAGGCAACACCUGUGACCCUUGUGGUGGGUGAAAGUCGCCUAGAGGGGGGUGAAUAGGGCGAAACUGAAAUUCUCAAAAAUAAUCACAACUACAAGCCGGGUUAGCGUUAGAAAUAUAAUCGAGUCCGCGAAAGAGGGUGCAAAACAAAUCACAAUCAAAUAAAGAGUGUGACACGCGGAUUUGUUUUACCGAGGUUCGGUUCUCGCAAACCUACUCCCCGUUGAGGAGGCCACAAAGGCCGGGUCUUUUUCAACCCUUUCCCUCUCUCAAACGAUCCCACGGAUCGAGUGAGCUUUCUCUUCUCAAUCACUUGGAACACAAAGUUCCCACAAGGACCACCACAAGAUUGGUGUCUCUUGCCUCAAUUACAAGUGAGUUUUGGUCGCAAGAAAGAAUCAAGAAAGAAGAAAGCAAUCCAAGCGCAAGAGCUCGAAAGAACACAAGCAAAUCUCUCUCUCUACUCACUAGGGCGUUGUGUGGAAUUUGGAGAGGAUUUGAUCUCUUUGGUGUGUCUAGAAUUGAAUGCUAGAGCUCUUGUAAGUAGUUGGGAAGUGGAAAACUUGGAUAACUUGAAUGUGAGGUGGUUGGGGGUAUUUAUAGCCCCAACCACCAAACUAGCCGUUUGGUGAGGCUGUCUGUUCGAUGGCGCACCGGACAGUCUGGUGCGAUAGCCACGUCACCAAAAGCUGUUGGGGUCGACCGUUGGAGCUCUGACUUCUGGGCCCGCCUGGAUGUCCGGUGGCGCACCGGACAUGCACUGUAGAUUGUCCGGUGCGCCAGCAUGGGCGUGCCUGACCUCUGCGCGCGCAGCGCGCGCAUUUAAUGCGUCGCAGGUAGCCGUUGGCGCCGAAAUAGCCGUUGCCCCGCCGUUACACCGGACAGUCCGGUGUACACCGGACAGUCCGGUGAAUUUUAGCGGAGCAGCUGAAGUGAAAACCCGAGGGCUGGCGAGUUCCGGAGGCCGCUCUUCCUUGGAGCACCGGACAUGUCCGGUGUACACCGGACAGUCCGGUGAAUUAUAGCGGAGUUGCCUCUGGAAAUUCCCGAAGGUGAGCAGUUCGGAGUUGGAGUCCUCUGGUGCACCGGACAUGUCCGGUGGCACACCGGACAGUCCGGUGCGCCAGACCAGAGAUGCCUUCGGUUGUCCCUUUGCUCUUUGGUUGAACCCAAUACUUGGUCUUUUUAUUGGCUAAGUGUGAACCUUUGGCACCUGUAUAACUUAUAUACUAGAGCAAACUAGUUAGUCCAAUUAUUUGUGUUGGGCAAUUCAACCACCAAAAUUAUUUAGGAACUAGGUGUAAGCCUAAUUCCCUUUCAAUCUCCCCCUUUUUGGUGAUUGAUGCCAACACAAACCAAAGCAAAUAUAGAAGUGCAUAAUUGAACUAGUUUGCAUAAUGUAAGUGCAAAGGUUGCUUGAAAUUGAGCCAAGAAAUGUUACUUACUAGAUGUGCAUGGAUUGUUUCUUUAUUUUUAACAUUUUGGACCACGCUUGCACCACAUGUUUUGUUUUUGCAAAUUAUUUUUGUAAAUCCUUUUCAAAGUCCUUUUGCAACAUAGUCAAAGGUAGAUGAAUAAGAUUUUUGCAAAGUUUUUUUUCAAGUUAAAAGGUUUUCUCCCCUUGAUUCAAAUGUUUUUCCUUUGACUAAACAAAACUCCCCCUAAAUAAGAUCCUCCUCUUAGUGUUCAAGAGGGAUUUGAUUUAUCAUUUUUGAAAUACUACUUCCUCCCCCUUUAGAACAUAAUAAGAUACCAAUUUGAAAUUGACCAAUUGAAAAUCUCCAAAUUUUAAAAAAUUAGGUGGUGGUGCGGUCCUUUUGCUUUGGGCUCAUAUUUUCUCCCCCUUUGGCAUGAAUCGCCAAAAACGGAAUCAUUAGAGCCCAACGAAGUACUUUCUCCUCCUUUGGUCAUAAAAUAAAUGAGUGAAGAUUAUACCAAAAUUGGAGAGAUGCACGGAGUGACGGCGAAGGGUGAGUAGUAGAGUGGAGUGGAAGCCUUUGUCUUCACCGAAGACUCCAAUUCCCUUUCAAUAUACCUAUGACUUGGUUUGAAAAUACACUUGAAAACACAUUAGUCAUAUAUAUAAAAGAGACAUGAUCAAAGGUAUACUUGUGUGCUAUGUGUGCAAAUUAGCAAAAGAAAUUCCUAGAAUCAAGAAUAUUGAGCUCAUGCCUAAGUCUGGUAAAAGAUUGUUCAUCAAGUGACUUGGUAAAGAUAUCGGCUAAUUGAUCUUCAGUGUUAAUGUAGGAAAUCUCGAUAUCCCCCUUUUGUUGAUGAUCCCUAAGGAAAUGAUACCGAAUGGCUAUGUGUUUAGUGCGGCUAUGCUCAACGGGAUUAUCCGCCAUGCGGAUUGCACUCUCAUUAUCACAUAGAAGAGGAACUUUGGUUAGUUUGUAACCGUAGUCCCGCAGGGUUUGCCUCAUCCAAAGCAAUUGCGCACAACAAUGGCCUGCGGCAAUAUACUCGGCUUCGACGGUAGAAAGAGCGACCAAAUUUUGCUUCUUUGAAGCCCAAGACACCAAGGAUCUUCCCAAGAACUGGCAAGUCCCCGAUGUGCUCUUUCUAUUAAUCUUACACCCCGCCCAAUCGGCAUCCGAAUAACCAAUCAAAUCAAAUGUGGAUCCCCGAGGGUACCAAAGCCCAAACUUAGGUGUGUAAGCCAAAUAUCUCAAGAUUCGUUUUAUGGCCGUAAGGUGGGAUUCCUUAGGGUCGGAUUGGAAUCUUGCACACAUGCAUACGGAAAGCAUAAUGUCUGGUCGAGAUGCACAUAAAUAAAGCAAUGAACCAAUCAUCGACCGGUAUACCUUUUGAUCCACGGACUUACCUCCCGUGUCGAGGUCGAGAUGCCCAUUUGUUCCCAUGGGUGUCUUGAUGGGCUUGGCAUCCUUCAUUCCAAACUUGCUUAGAAUGUCUUGAGUAUACUUUGUUUGGCUAAUGAAGGUGCCCUCUUGGAGUUGCUUGACUUGGAAUCCUAGAAAAUACUUCAACUCCCCCAUCAUCGACAUCUCGAAUUUCUUUGUCAUGAUCCUACUAAAUUCUUCACAUGUAGAUUCGUUAGUAGACCCAAAUAUGAUAUCAUCAACAUAAAUUUGGCAUACAAACAAAUCAUUGUCAAGAGUUUUAGUGAAUAAAGUAGGAUCGACCUUGCCGACUUUGAAGCCAUUUGCAAUAAGGAAAUCUCUAAGGCAUUCAUACCACGCUCUUGGGGCUUGCUUGAGCCCAUAAAGCGCCUUAGAGAGCCUAUAAACAUGGUUAGGGUACUCACUAUUUUCAAAGCCGGGAGGUUGCUCAACAUAGACCUCUUCCUUGAUUGGUCCAUUGAGGAAGGCACUCUUUACGUCCAUUUGAUGAAGCUUGAAGCCAUGGUAAGUAGCAUAGGCUAAUAAUAUGCGAAUGGACUCAAGCCUAGCUACGGAUGCAUAGGUUUCACCGAAAUCCAAACCUUCGACUUGGGAGUAUCCCUUGGCCACAAGUCGAGCUUUGUUCCUAGUCACCACACCAUGCUCGUCUUGCUUGUUGCGGAAGACCCACUUGGUUCCUACAAUAUUUUGAUUAGGACGUGGAACUAAAUGCCAUACCUCGUUCCUCGUGAAAUUGUUGAGCUCCUCUUGCAUCGCCAUCACCCAAUCCGAAUCUUGGAGCGCUUCCUCUACCCUGUGUGGCUCAAUAGAGGAAACAAAAGAGUAAUGCUCACAAAAAUGUGCAACACAAGACCGAGUAGUUACCCCCUUAUGAAUAUCGCCGAGGAUGGUGUCGACGGGGUGAUCUCGUUGUAUUGCUUGGUGGACUCUUGGGUGUGGCGGCCUUGGUUGUUCAUCCUCCUUGUCUUGAUCAUUUGCAUCUACCCCUUGAUCAUUGCCGUCAUCUUGAGGUGGCUCAUCUCUUUGAUCUUCUCCUUCAUCAACUUGAGCCUCGUCCUCAUUUUGGGUUGGUGGAGAUGCUUGCGUGGAGGAGGAUGGUUGAUCUUGUGCAUGUGGAGGCUCUUUGGAUUCCUUAGGACACACAUCCCCAAUGGACAUGUUCCUUAGCGCGAUGCACGGAGCCUGUUCUUCACCUAUCUCAUCAAGAUCAACUUGCUCUACUUGAGAGCCGUUAGUCUCAUCAAACACAACGUCACAAGAAACUUCAACAAGUCCUGAGGACUUGUUAAAGACCCUAUAUGCCCUUGUGUUUGAGUCAUAUCCUAGUAAAAAGCCUUCUACAGUUUUAGGAGCAAAUUUAGAUUUUCUACCUCUUUUGACAAGAAUAAAACAUUUGCUACCAAAGACUCUAAAAUAUGAAAUAUUGGGCUUUUUACCGGUUAGGAGUUCAUAGGAUGUCUUCUUGAGGAUUCGGUGAAGAUAUAACCGGUUGAUGGCGUAGCAGGCGGUGUUGACUGCCUCGGCCCAAAACCGAUCCGGUGUCUUGUACUCAUCAAGCAUGGUUCUUGCCAUGUCCAAUAGAGUUCGAUUCUUCCUCUCCACUACACCAUUUUGUUGUGGAGUGUAGGGAGAAGAGAACUCAUGCUUGAUGCCCUCCUCCUCAAGGAAGCCUUCUAUUUGUGAGUUCUUGAACUCCGUCCCGUUGUCGCUUCUAAUUUUCUUGAUCCUUAAGCCGAACUCAUUUUGAGCCCGUCUCAAGAAUCCCUUUAAGGUUUCUUGGGUAUGAGAUUUUUCCUGCAAAAAGAACACCCAAGUGAAGCGAGAAUAAUCAUCCACAAUAACUAGACAGUACUUACUCCCGCCGAUGCUUAUGUAAGCGAUCGGGCCAAAUAGGUCCAUGUGUAGGAGCUCCAGUGGCCUGUCACUAGCCAUGAUGUUCUUGUGUGGAUGAUGGGUGCCAACUUGCUUCCCAUCUUGGCAUGCGCUACAAAUCCUGUCUUUCUUAAAAUGAACAUUUGUUAGUCUUAAAAUGUGUUCUCCCUUUAGAAGCUUAUGAAGAUUCUUCAUUCCAACAUGGGCUAGUCGGCGGUGCCAGAGCCAACCCAAGUUAGUCUUAGCAAUUAAGCAAGUGUCGAGUUCAGCCUUAUCAAAAUCUACCAAGUAUAGCUGACCCUCUAACACUCCCUUAAAUGCUAUUGAAUCAUCACUUCUCCUAAAGACAGUGACACCUACAUCAGUAAAUAGACAAUUGUAGCCCAUUUGACAUAAUUGGGAUACGGAAAGCAAAUUGUAAUCUAAAGAAUUUACAAGAAAAACAUUUGAAAUAGUAUGGUCAGGUGAUAUAGCAAUUUUACCCAAUCCUUUGACCAAACCUUGAUUUCCAUCCCCGAAUGUGAUAGCUCGUUGGGGAUCUUGGUUUUUCUCAUAUGAGGAGAACAUCUUCUUCUCCCCUGUCAUGUGGUUUGUGCACCCGCUGUCGAGUAUCCAACUUGAGCCCCCGGAUGCAUAAACCUACAAAACAAUUUUAGUUCUUGACUUUAGGUACCCAAACGGUUUUGGGUCCUUUGGCAUUAGAAACAAGAACUUUGGGUACCCAAACACAAGUCUUGGAGCCCUUGUGUUUGCCCCCAACAAACUUGGCAACUACCUUGCCGGAUUUGUUAGUAAGCACAUAUGAUGCAUCAAAAGUUUUGAAUGAAAUAGCAUGAUCAUUUGAUGCACUAGGAGUUUUCUUUCUUGGCAACUUAGCACGGGUUGGUUGCCUAGAGCUAGAUGUCUCACCCUUAUACAUAAAAGCAUGAUUAGGGCCAGAGUGAGACUUCCUAGAAUGAGUUCUCCUAAUUUUGCUCUCGGGAUAACCGGCAGGGUACAAAAUGUAACCCUCGUUAUCCUGAGGCAUGGGAGCCUUGCCCUUCACAAAGUUAGACAAGUUUUUAGGAGGGGCAUUAAGUUUGACAUUGUCUCCCCUUUGGAAGCCAAUGCCAUCCUUGAUGCCAGGGCGUCUCCCAUUAUAGAGCAUACUUCUAGUAAAUUUAAACUUUUCAUUUUCUAAGUUAUGCUCGACAAUUUUAUCAUCUAAUAAUGCUAUAUGAUCAUUUUGUUGUUUAAUUAAAGUCAUGUGAUCAUGAAUAGCAUUGAUAUCAACAUCUCUACAUCUAGUACAAAUAGAAGUGUGCUCAACAAUAGAUGUAGAGGAUUUGCAAGAUUUUAAUUCUACAACCUUAGCAUGCAACAUAUCAUUCUUAGUUCUAAGGUCGGAAAUAAUAGUAUUGCAAACAUCAAAAUCUUUAGCCUUAGCAAUCAAAUUUUCAUUUUCUACUCUAAGGCUAGCAAGAGAAUCAUUCAAUUCCUUAAUCUUAGCAAGCAAAUCAUCAUUAUCAUUUCUAAGAUUGGGAAUUGAAGCAUCGCAAACAUGAAAAUCAACCUUAGCAAUUAAUCUAGUAUUUUCAUUUCUAAGGUUGUCUAUAGUCUCAUGGCAAGUGCUUAGCUCACUAGACAAUUUUUCGCAUUUUUCUACUUCUAGAGCAUAAGCAUUUUUAACCUUAACAUGUUUCUUAUUUUCUUUAAUAAGGAAGUCCUCUUGGGUGUCCAAGAGAUCAUCCUUUUCAUGAAUGGCACUAAUCAAUUCAUUAAGUUUCUCUUUUUGUUGCAUGUUGAGGUUGGCAAAAAGAGAUCGCAAGUUAUCUUCCUCAUCACUAAUAUUUUCAUCACUAGAGGAUUCAUAUCUAGUAGAGGAUUUAGAUUUAACCUUCUUCUUUUUGCCGUCCUUUGCCAUGAGGCACUUGUGGCCGACGUUGGGGAAGAGAAGUCCCUUGGUGACGGCGAUGUUGGCGGCGUCCUCGUCGUCGGAGGAGUCGCUAGAGCUUUCGUCGGAGUCCCACUCCCGACAAACAUGGGCAUCGCCGCCCUUCUUCUUGUAGUACCUCUUCUUCUCCUUUCUUCUCCCUUUCUUGUCGUCGCCCCUGUCACUAUCACUUGAUAAUGGACAUUUAGCUAUAAAGUGACCGGGCUUACCACACUUGUAGCAAACCUUCUUGGAGCGGGACUUGUAGUCUUUCCCCCUCCUUUGUUUGAGGAUUUGACGGAAGCUCUUGAUGACGAGCGCCAUUUCCUCAUUGUCGAGCUUGGAGGCGUCAAUUGGUUAUCGACUUGGUGUAGACUCCUCCUUCUUUUCCUCCGUCGCCUUGAAUGCGACGGGUUGAGCUUCGGAUGUGGAGGGAUCAUCAAGCUCGUUGAUCUUCCUCGAGCCUUCGAUCAUGCACUCAAAACUUACAAAAUUCCCGAUUAUUUCCUCGGGGGUCAUUAGUGUAUAUCUUGGGUUGCCACGAAUUAAUUGUACUUGAGUGGGGUUAAGAAAAAUAAGAGAUCUUAGAAUAACCUUAACCAUUUCGUGGUCAUCCCAUUUCUUGCUCCCGAGGUUGCGCACUUGAUUCACCAAGGUCUUGAGCCGGUUGUACAUGUUUUGUGGUUCUUCCCCUUUGCGAAGCUGGAACCGACCGAGCUCCCCCUCGAUUGUUUCCCGCUUGGUGAUCUUUGUGAGCUCAUCUCCUUCGUGUGCGGUUUUGAGCACAUCCCAAACCUCCUUGGCGCUCUUCAACCCUUGUACUUUGUUAUACUCCUCUCUACUUAGAGAGGCGAGGAGUAUUGUUGUUGCUUGAGAGUUGAAGUGCUCGAUUUGGGCCACUUCGUCCGUAUCGUAGUCUUCAUCCCCUACGGAUGGUACCUGUGCUCCAAACUCAACAACAUUCCAAAUACUUUUGUGGAGUGAGGUUAGAUGAAAUUUCAUUAAAUCACUCCACCUAGCAUAAUCUUCGCCAUCAAAAGUUGGCGGUUUGCCUAAUGGAACGGAAAGUAAUGGAGUAUGUCUAGAUGUACGAGAAUAGUGUAAGGGGAUCUUACUAAACUUCUUGCGCUCUUGGCGCUUAGAAGUUACGGACGGCGCAUCGGAGUCAGAGGUUGAUGUUGAUAAAGUGUCGGUCUCGUAGUAGACCACCUUCCUCAUCCUCUUAUGCUUGUCGCCUUUCCGAUGCGACUUGUGAGAAGAAGAUUUUUCCUUCUUCUCUUUGUGGUGUGAGGAAGAAGAUCUUUUCUCCUUCCGUUUGGAGGAGUCCUUCUUCUUCUCCUUCCUCUUGGUGCGGGACUCUUCCGAUGAAGUGCUCCCUUGGCUCGUAGUGGGCUUGUCGCCGGUCUCCAUCUCCCUCUUGGUGUGAUCUCCCGACAUCACUCCGAGCGGUUAGGCUCUAAUGAAGCACCGGGCUUUGAUACCAAUUGAAAGUCGCCUAGAGGGGGGGGUGAAUAGGGCGAAACUGAAAUUCUCAAAAAUAAUCACAACUACAAGCCGGGUUAGCGUUAGAAAUAUAAUCGAGUCCGCGAAAGAGGGUGCAAAACAAAUCACAAUCAAAUAAAGAGUGUGACACGCGGAUUUGUUUUACCGAGGUUUGGUUCUCGCAAACCUACUCCCCGUUGAGGAGGCCACAAAGGCCGGGUCUUUUUCAACCCUUUCCCUCUCUCAAACGAUCCCACGGAUCGAGUGAGCUUUCUCUUCUCAAUCACUUGGAACACAAAGUUCCCACAAGGACCACCACAAGAUUGGUGUUUCUUGCCUCAAUUACAAGUGAGUUUUGGUCGCAAGAAAGAAUCAAGAAAGAAGAAAGCAAUCCAAGCGCAAGAGCUCGAAAGAACACAAGCAAAUCUCUCUCUCUACUCACUAGGGCGUUGUGUGGAAUUUGGAGAGGAUUUGAUCUCUUUGGUGUGUCUAGAAUUGAAUGCUAGAGCUCUUGUAAGUAGUUGGGAAGUGGAAAACUUGGAUAACUUGAAUGUGAGGUGGUUGGGGGUAUUUAUAGCCCCAACCACCAAACUAGUCGUUUGGUGAGGCUGUCUGUUCGAUGGCGCACCGGACAGUCCGGUGCACACCGGACAUGUCCGGUGCGACAGCCACGUCACCAAAAGCUGUUGGGGUCGACCGUUGGAGCUCUGACUUCUGGGCCCGCCUGGAUGUCCGGUGGCGCACCGGACAUGCACUGUAGAUUGUCCGGUGCGCCAGCAUGGGCGUGCCUGACCUCUGCGCGCGCAGCGCGCGCAUUUAAUGCGUCGCAGGUAGCCGUUGGCGCCGAAAUAGCCGUUGCCCCGUUACACCGGACAGUCCGGUGUACACCGGACAGUCCGGUGAAUUUUAGCGGAGCAGCUGAAGUGAAAACCCGAGGGCUGGCGAGUUCCGGAGGCCGCUCUUCCUUGGAGCACCGGACAUGUCCGGUGUACACCGGACAGUCCGGUGAAUUAUAGCGGAGUUGUCUCUGGAAAUUCCCGAAGGUGAGCAGUUCGGAGUUGGAGUCCUCUGGUGCACCGGACAUGUCCGGUGGCCCACCGGACAGUCCGGUGCGCCAGACCAGAGGUGCCUUCGGUUGUCCCUUUGCUCUUUGGUUGAACCCAAUACUUGGUCUUUUUAUUGGCUAAGUGUGAACCUUUGGCACUUGUAUAACUUAUAUAAUAGAGCAAACUAGUUAGUCCAAUUAUUUGUGUUGGGCAAUUCAACCACCAAAAUUAUUUAGGAACUAGGUGUAAGCCUAAUUCCCUUUCAGUGGGCUCUGUGUAACUCCGGACUGUCCGGCGUAGGGUGCCGGACGGUCUGACGGAGGGCCGGACGGUCUGCAAUUGUGUGCGGACAGUCCGGCCGUGCUCAGAGUUGACUCACCAUUUAGCGAAGAUGGUGGUGACGCUCGUCCUGGAUAUGAGUCCAUCGGCAUUACCAGAAUAUGGCUGGGGAAACCCAUUUGUUGCCGAUGUAUUUGGCGCAAUUGUUUUGGCGCCUAAUUUAUGUGAUAAAAAAAUAGGCAUGUGAGUUUUUCCUAAUGCAUGUGCCAUCCUUUCUAUAUCCUCCAUGAUAUUUUUAAUCUGAUUAUCAAAAGAAAUUUUAAUAAAUGGAAUAUCAUCGGCUGACCUGGCAUCACCUAUUGUGGAGAGUUGUUGCAGCACGGCUGACAUGUACUCGACGUUUAUCUCCCUCUCUUGGACGACCUUCUGGUGGCAAUCUACCCUGAAGUGCGAGAGGAACCACUUAUCCGCCACCUUGAGCACCUGAUCUGCUUGUCGCUGGACCUCCUCGUCUAUUUUCUUCAUGUCAUCUUUUAAUCUUUCACGCUCAGCGGCCGAUAAAUUAGUCAGCCUUGUGUUGCUGUUUGGAGAAGCACUGUUGAGAUCUUUAGAAUCGGCCAUGUAAGCCUGAUUUUGUAGACCUGCAACCUCUUCCCCAGCGGAGUCGCCAAAAAGUAUGUUGGCACCUUUUUGGGGCGCCAAUCACUCAACAAGAACCCAGCGGCGGUGCUCUCUGGUCAGGCGCGGACGGUCCGCGGCACAGGGCCGGACGGUCCGCGACCUGACGCAGGGCUAGGGUUCCCUGCCUGAUGGCCGGACGGUCCGCGACCUGGUGACAGGGUCGUCUUCCUUCUCCUUGCUAGAAUCUAGAUCUCGUCCCCUGGGGGGAAAAGAUCUUAAGGUGCUCUGGGUCGACAGGUCACCCGGGGCGCCGAGACGACGUGGAGCCGCCUAGGAAUUAAGAGAUCAAUUCGAGGAAGAGGUCUUGGAUGGACAACUAGAUCUUGCCCCCCGGGAGGGGUGAGAUCCUAGGGUUGUCUUGGGAUCGGCAGACCACCCAAGACGGAUCUAGACGACGUAGAGUCGAAUAGGGAUGGAGGGUGGAUAUGUGGAAGACUACAACUAGAACUAUGCUACAUCUACUCCUAGGGCAGGAAAAGUAAAUAAGGUAAUUGGUUCGAUUGGAAUGUGUUCGGGGGUUCUCAAUCGGCCGUACCCCUUUAUAUUUAUAGGGGAGGAGGUAUGGACCUUUUCCUAAGAGAUAGCCAACAAACUCCCACGUGAUUAGAUGGAUAACCACGCACGAGAUAAGGAUAAACAUCCGAGUUAAUCUAAUCUCGGGACACGCGGACCGUCCGGGCCUAAGGGUCGGACCGUCCGCUCGUUUUGGUGUCCAACAUAUGCCCCCUGCCUUUUGGUGGAGCUUGGCAAACCAAAAGCAUCAGCGAAAACUUCGAAAACAAUUGACCUCAUGAGCUUUUGUUCCCAAAGUAAGGACUCAGCUCGAUGCAAGUCAUCGGCUCUUGCGAUCAGAUAAUAUAAAUACUUGAUGGAACUUUAAUGCACAGAGGCCGUUUUAGAUCACAUCCUCUUCGGCCAUGUCUACCUGAUCAACCUGUAAUAGGCAAAAACUUGUGUUGCCCCCCAGCCCAAAUAAGCAAACGGAUUGGGCCAGUAAUACGAAUUCAUCGCCGUACCACCCCACACAUGAGCAGGACAACACAUCGGCGAUGGAUAGAACGGGUCGCACCAUGCUAUCCCCGAAGGAGGAUGACAAGGCGAUCUUGGUUGAGCUACCCUUUGGGUCCGUUUAGUCGGCUUUUGCUUUCGCACAGGUCGCCCUUUUGACUUCGUUUGUUUUAUUGGCCAGUUGUGUGGAACGGCCUUCUUCAUAUAUUUGGCAAGCAACUGACCAAAAGUAGGGCCGACUCUACUGAGUCGUCCAGACGUCUUAGUAGUGUUUUGUUUCCUAACACUUGUGUUGGAACGUUGUGGUCCGAUGAUCUGAGGUUGCUGCUUCUGACCAUCUGCGAACCGUCCGGCCAUCAUAGCCGGACUGUCCGCGCCUGUCUCGGACUGUUCGGCCUUAGUACCUGGAUCAUCCGGCGUACGCAGGACAGGUGAUCGUGAUUGGGUGUCCGAUCGUGCUUGCCCCUCGGUGCCUCCGGUCUUUCUUUUGUCCGGAGCCUUCAGAGUAACCAUUCUACGUGACAUAUUUGGUGUGCGAGGAUCACCAAUGACGAUAUUUUUAUUUUUACUUUUAUCGGCCGCACAAGGCCGAAUUAUGGCAUUUUUGCUCGUUGGCUGUAAUGUGGUGACAGGAACAGGUGGCCUGUCACUUUUCACCUCUUUUUGAAACCUCAACCGGCCUUCGUUUAUAGCCGAUUGUAUUUGCCGGUGGAAGACGGCACAAUCAUUGGUGUUAUGGAGAAAGGAGCCAUGCCAUUUGCAAUAAACGCGCCCUUUUAAUUGUUCAACCGGAGGAAUUACAUGUGACAAUUUAAUAUUAUCAUGUUUAAGCAACUCAUCAAAUAUUUUAUCACAUUUAGUAAUAUUGAAUGUGAACUUAACUUUUUCCUUUUGUGUCGAGUGUGGGUGAGAGCGAACAGAAGGUUUGGCCUCAGUGGGCCAAACAAGCUCAGGGACAUGUGACUUUUUUGGUUCUUGGGGCUUGGGUGGCCGGUUAUAUUUAUGUCGGCCUUCCGCACUAGGCAGAUCACAGGUGACUUCUGGUGCUCCGGACGGUCCGACCUGCACAGUCGGACGGUCUGCGGGUGGAUCGGACGGUCUGGUACUAUCCUCGGACUGUCCGGUCACGUCAGGCAACACCUGUGACCCUUGUGGUGGGUGAAAGUCGCCUAGAGGGGGGUGAAUAGGGCGAAACUGAAAUUCUCAAAAAUAAUCACAACUACAAGCCGGGUUAGCGUUAGAAAUAUAAUCGAGUCCGCGAAAGAGGGUGCAAAACAAAUCACAAUCAAAUAAAGAGUGUGACACGCGGAUUUGUUUUACCGAGGUUCGGUUCUCGCAAACCUACUCCCCGUUGAGGAGGCCACAAAGGCCGGGUCUUUUUCAACCCUUUCCCUCUCUCAAACGAUCCCACGGAUCGAGUGAGCUUUCUCUUCUCAAUCACUUGGAACACAAAGUUCCCACAAGGACCACCACAAGAUUGGUGUCUCUUGCCUCAAUUACAAGUGAGUUUUGGUCGCAAGAAAGAAUCAAGAAAGAAGAAAGCAAUCCAAGCGCAAGAGCUCGAAAGAACACAAGCAAAUCUCUCUCUCUACUCACUAGGGCGUUGUGUGGAAUUUGGAGAGGAUUUGAUCUCUUUGGUGUGUCUAGAAUUGAAUGCUAGAGCUCUUGUAAGUAGUUGGGAAGUGGAAAACUUGGAUAACUUGAAUGUGAGGUGGUUGGGGGUAUUUAUAGCCCCAACCACCAAACUAGCCGUUUGGUGAGGCUGUCUGUUCGAUGGCGCACCGGACAGUCUGGUGCGAUAGCCACGUCACCAAAAGCUGUUGGGGUCGACCGUUGGAGCUCUGACUUCUGGGCCCGCCUGGAUGUCCGGUGGCGCACCGGACAUGCACUGUAGAUUGUCCGGUGCGCCAGCAUGGGCGUGCCUGACCUCUGCGCGCGCAGCGCGCGCAUUUAAUGCGUCGCAGGUAGCCGUUGGCGCCGAAAUAGCCGUUGCCCCGCCGUUACACCGGACAGUCCGGUGUACACCGGACAGUCCGGUGAAUUUUAGCGGAGCAGCUGAAGUGAAAACCCGAGGGCUGGCGAGUUCCGGAGGCCGCUCUUCCUUGGAGCACCGGACAUGUCCGGUGUACACCGGACAGUCCGGUGAAUUAUAGCGGAGUUGCCUCUGGAAAUUCCCGAAGGUGAGCAGUUCGGAGUUGGAGUCCUCUGGUGCACCGGACAUGUCCGGUGGCACACCGGACAGUCCGGUGCGCCAGACCAGAGAUGCCUUCGGUUGUCCCUUUGCUCUUUGGUUGAACCCAAUACUUGGUCUUUUUAUUGGCUAAGUGUGAACCUUUGGCACCUGUAUAACUUAUAUACUAGAGCAAACUAGUUAGUCCAAUUAUUUGUGUUGGGCAAUUCAACCACCAAAAUUAUUUAGGAACUAGGUGUAAGCCUAAUUCCCUUUCAAUCUCCCCCUUUUUGGUGAUUGAUGCCAACACAAACCAAAGCAAAUAUAGAAGUGCAUAAUUGAACUAGUUUGCAUAAUGUAAGUGCAAAGGUUGCUUGAAAUUGAGCCAAGAAAUGUUACUUACUAGAUGUGCAUGGAUUGUUUCUUUAUUUUUAACAUUUUGGACCACGCUUGCACCACAUGUUUUGUUUUUGCAAAUUAUUUUUGUAAAUCCUUUUCAAAGUCCUUUUGCAACAUAGUCAAAGGUAGAUGAAUAAGAUUUUUGCAAAGUUUUUUUUCAAGUUAAAAGGUUUUCUCCCCUUGAUUCAAAUGUUUUUCCUUUGACUAAACAAAACUCCCCCUAAAUAAGAUCCUCCUCUUAGUGUUCAAGAGGGAUUUGAUUUAUCAUUUUUGAAAUACUACUUCCUCCCCCUUUAGAACAUAAUAAGAUACCAAUUUGAAAUUGACCAAUUGAAAAUCUCCAAAUUUUAAAAAAUUAGGUGGUGGUGCGGUCCUUUUGCUUUGGGCUCAUAUUUUCUCCCCCUUUGGCAUGAAUCGCCAAAAACGGAAUCAUUAGAGCCCAACGAAGUACUUUCUCCUCCUUUGGUCAUAAAAUAAAUGAGUGAAGAUUAUACCAAAAUUGGAGAGAUGCACGGAGUGACGGCGAAGGGUGAGUAGUAGAGUGGAGUGGAAGCCUUUGUCUUCACCGAAGACUCCAAUUCCCUUUCAAUAUACCUAUGACUUGGUUUGAAAAUACACUUGAAAACACAUUAGUCAUAUAUAUAAAAGAGACAUGAUCAAAGGUAUACUUGUGUGCUAUGUGUGCAAAUUAGCAAAAGAAAUUCCUAGAAUCAAGAAUAUUGAGCUCAUGCCUAAGUCUGGUAAAAGAUUGUUCAUCAAGUGACUUGGUAAAGAUAUCGGCUAAUUGAUCUUCAGUGUUAAUGUAGGAAAUCUCGAUAUCCCCCUUUUGUUGAUGAUCCCUAAGGAAAUGAUACCGAAUGGCUAUGUGUUUAGUGCGGCUAUGCUCAACGGGAUUAUCCGCCAUGCGGAUUGCACUCUCAUUAUCACAUAGAAGAGGAACUUUGGUUAGUUUGUAACCGUAGUCCCGCAGGGUUUGCCUCAUCCAAAGCAAUUGCGCACAACAAUGGCCUGCGGCAAUAUACUCGGCUUCGACGGUAGAAAGAGCGACCAAAUUUUGCUUCUUUGAAGCCCAAGACACCAAGGAUCUUCCCAAGAACUGGCAAGUCCCCGAUGUGCUCUUUCUAUUAAUCUUACACCCCGCCCAAUCGGCAUCCGAAUAACCAAUCAAAUCAAAUGUGGAUCCCCGAGGGUACCAAAGCCCAAACUUAGGUGUGUAAGCCAAAUAUCUCAAGAUUCGUUUUAUGGCCGUAAGGUGGGAUUCCUUAGGGUCGGAUUGGAAUCUUGCACACAUGCAUACGGAAAGCAUAAUGUCUGGUCGAGAUGCACAUAAAUAAAGCAAUGAACCAAUCAUCGACCGGUAUACCUUUUGAUCCACGGACUUACCUCCCGUGUCGAGGUCGAGAUGCCCAUUUGUUCCCAUGGGUGUCUUGAUGGGCUUGGCAUCCUUCAUUCCAAACUUGCUUAGAAUGUCUUGAGUAUACUUUGUUUGGCUAAUGAAGGUGCCCUCUUGGAGUUGCUUGACUUGGAAUCCUAGAAAAUACUUCAACUCCCCCAUCAUCGACAUCUCGAAUUUCUUUGUCAUGAUCCUACUAAAUUCUUCACAUGUAGAUUCGUUAGUAGACCCAAAUAUGAUAUCAUCAACAUAAAUUUGGCAUACAAACAAAUCAUUGUCAAGAGUUUUAGUGAAUAAAGUAGGAUCGACCUUGCCGACUUUGAAGCCAUUUGCAAUAAGGAAAUCUCUAAGGCAUUCAUACCACGCUCUUGGGGCUUGCUUGAGCCCAUAAAGCGCCUUAGAGAGCCUAUAAACAUGGUUAGGGUACUCACUAUUUUCAAAGCCGGGAGGUUGCUCAACAUAGACCUCUUCCUUGAUUGGUCCAUUGAGGAAGGCACUCUUUACGUCCAUUUGAUGAAGCUUGAAGCCAUGGUAAGUAGCAUAGGCUAAUAAUAUGCGAAUGGACUCAAGCCUAGCUACGGAUGCAUAGGUUUCACCGAAAUCCAAACCUUCGACUUGGGAGUAUCCCUUGGCCACAAGUCGAGCUUUGUUCCUAGUCACCACACCAUGCUCGUCUUGCUUGUUGCGGAAGACCCACUUGGUUCCUACAAUAUUUUGAUUAGGACGUGGAACUAAAUGCCAUACCUCGUUCCUCGUGAAAUUGUUGAGCUCCUCUUGCAUCGCCAUCACCCAAUCCGAAUCUUGGAGCGCUUCCUCUACCCUGUGUGGCUCAAUAGAGGAAACAAAAGAGUAAUGCUCACAAAAAUGUGCAACACAAGACCGAGUAGUUACCCCCUUAUGAAUAUCGCCGAGGAUGGUGUCGACGGGGUGAUCUCGUUGUAUUGCUUGGUGGACUCUUGGGUGUGGCGGCCUUGGUUGUUCAUCCUCCUUGUCUUGAUCAUUUGCAUCUACCCCUUGAUCAUUGCCGUCAUCUUGAGGUGGCUCAUCUCUUUGAUCUUCUCCUUCAUCAACUUGAGCCUCGUCCUCAUUUUGGGUUGGUGGAGAUGCUUGCGUGGAGGAGGAUGGUUGAUCUUGUGCAUGUGGAGGCUCUUUGGAUUCCUUAGGACACACAUCCCCAAUGGACAUGUUCCUUAGCGCGAUGCACGGAGCCUGUUCUUCACCUAUCUCAUCAAGAUCAACUUGCUCUACUUGAGAGCCGUUAGUCUCAUCAAACACAACGUCACAAGAAACUUCAACAAGUCCUGAGGACUUGUUAAAGACCCUAUAUGCCCUUGUGUUUGAGUCAUAUCCUAGUAAAAAGCCUUCUACAGUUUUAGGAGCAAAUUUAGAUUUUCUACCUCUUUUGACAAGAAUAAAACAUUUGCUACCAAAGACUCUAAAAUAUGAAAUAUUGGGCUUUUUACCGGUUAGGAGUUCAUAGGAUGUCUUCUUGAGGAUUCGGUGAAGAUAUAACCGGUUGAUGGCGUAGCAGGCGGUGUUGACUGCCUCGGCCCAAAACCGAUCCGGUGUCUUGUACUCAUCAAGCAUGGUUCUUGCCAUGUCCAAUAGAGUUCGAUUCUUCCUCUCCACUACACCAUUUUGUUGUGGAGUGUAGGGAGAAGAGAACUCAUGCUUGAUGCCCUCCUCCUCAAGGAAGCCUUCUAUUUGUGAGUUCUUGAACUCCGUCCCGUUGUCGCUUCUAAUUUUCUUGAUCCUUAAGCCGAACUCAUUUUGAGCCCGUCUCAAGAAUCCCUUUAAGGUUUCUUGGGUAUGAGAUUUUUCCUGCAAAAAGAACACCCAAGUGAAGCGAGAAUAAUCAUCCACAAUAACUAGACAGUACUUACUCCCGCCGAUGCUUAUGUAAGCGAUCGGGCCAAAUAGGUCCAUGUGUAGGAGCUCCAGUGGCCUGUCACUAGCCAUGAUGUUCUUGUGUGGAUGAUGGGUGCCAACUUGCUUCCCAUCUUGGCAUGCGCUACAAAUCCUGUCUUUCUUAAAAUGAACAUUUGUUAGUCUUAAAAUGUGUUCUCCCUUUAGAAGCUUAUGAAGAUUCUUCAUUCCAACAUGGGCUAGUCGGCGGUGCCAGAGCCAACCCAAGUUAGUCUUAGCAAUUAAGCAAGUGUCGAGUUCAGCCUUAUCAAAAUCUACCAAGUAUAGCUGACCCUCUAACACUCCCUUAAAUGCUAUUGAAUCAUCACUUCUCCUAAAGACAGUGACACCUACAUCAGUAAAUAGACAAUUGUAGCCCAUUUGACAUAAUUGGGAUACGGAAAGCAAAUUGUAAUCUAAAGAAUUUACAAGAAAAACAUUUGAAAUAGUAUGGUCAGGUGAUAUAGCAAUUUUACCCAAUCCUUUGACCAAACCUUGAUUUCCAUCCCCGAAUGUGAUAGCUCGUUGGGGAUCUUGGUUUUUCUCAUAUGAGGAGAACAUCUUCUUCUCCCCUGUCAUGUGGUUUGUGCACCCGCUGUCGAGUAUCCAACUUGAGCCCCCGGAUGCAUAAACCUACAAAACAAUUUUAGUUCUUGACUUUAGGUACCCAAACGGUUUUGGGUCCUUUGGCAUUAGAAACAAGAACUUUGGGUACCCAAACACAAGUCUUGGAGCCCUUGUGUUUGCCCCCAACAAACUUGGCAACUACCUUGCCGGAUUUGUUAGUAAGCACAUAUGAUGCAUCAAAAGUUUUGAAUGAAAUAGCAUGAUCAUUUGAUGCACUAGGAGUUUUCUUUCUUGGCAACUUAGCACGGGUUGGUUGCCUAGAGCUAGAUGUCUCACCCUUAUACAUAAAAGCAUGAUUAGGGCCAGAGUGAGACUUCCUAGAAUGAGUUCUCCUAAUUUUGCUCUCGGGAUAACCGGCAGGGUACAAAAUGUAACCCUCGUUAUCCUGAGGCAUGGGAGCCUUGCCCUUCACAAAGUUAGACAAGUUUUUAGGAGGGGCAUUAAGUUUGACAUUGUCUCCCCUUUGGAAGCCAAUGCCAUCCUUGAUGCCAGGGCGUCUCCCAUUAUAGAGCAUACUUCUAGCAAAUUUAAACUUUUCAUUUUCUAAGUUAUGCUCGGCAAUUUUAUCAUCUAAUAAUGCUAUAUGAUCAUUUUGUUGUUUAAUUAAAGUCAUGUGAUCAUGAAUAGCAUUGAUAUCAACAUCUCUACAUCUAGUACAAAUAGAAGUGUGCUCAACAAUAGAUGUAGAGGAUUUGCAAGAUUUUAAUUCUACAACCUUAGCAUGCAACAUAUCAUUCUUAGUUCUAAGGUCGGAAAUAAUAGUAUUGCAAACAUCAAAAUCUUUAGCCUUAGCAAUCAAAUUUUCAUUUUCUACUCUAAGGCUAGCAAGAGAAUCAUUCAAUUCCUUAAUCUUAGCAAGCAAAUCAUCAUUAUCAUUUCUAAGAUUGGGAAUUGAAGCAUCGCAAACAUGAAAAUCAACCUUAGCAAUUAAUCUAGUAUUUUCAUUUCUAAGGUUGUCUAUAGUCUCAUGGCAAGUGCUUAGCUCACUAGACAAUUUUUCGCAUUUUUCUACUUCUAGAGCAUAAGCAUUUUUAACCUUAACAUGUUUCUUAUUUUCUUUAAUAAGGAAGUCCUCUUGGGUGUCCAAGAGAUCAUCCUUUUCAUGAAUGGCACUAAUCAAUUCAUUAAGUUUCUCUUUUUGUUGCAUGUUGAGGUUGGCAAAAAGAGAUCGCAAGUUAUCUUCCUCAUCACUAAUAUUUUCAUCACUAGAGGAUUCAUAUCUAGUAGAGGAUUUAGAUUUAACCUUCUUCUUUUUGCCGUCCUUUGCCAUGAGGCACUUGUGGCCGACGUUGGGGAAGAGAAGUCCCUUGGUGACGGCGAUGUUGGCGGCGUCCUCGUCGUCGGAGGAGUCGCUAGAGCUUUCGUCGGAGUCCCACUCCCGACAAACAUGGGCAUCGCCGCCCUUCUUCUUGUAGUACCUCUUCUUCUCCUUUCUUCUCCCUUUCUUGUCGUCGCCCCUGUCACUAUCACUUGAUAAUGGACAUUUAGCUAUAAAGUGACCGGGCUUACCACACUUGUAGCAAACCUUCUUGGAGCGGGACUUGUAGUCUUUCCCCCUCCUUUGUUUGAGGAUUUGACGGAAGCUCUUGAUGACGAGCGCCAUUUCCUCAUUGUCGAGCUUGGAGGCGUCAAUUGGUUAUCGACUUGGUGUAGACUCCUCCUUCUUUUCCUCCGUCGCCUUGAAUGCGACGGGUUGAGCUUCGGAUGUGGAGGGAUCAUCAAGCUCGUUGAUCUUCCUCGAGCCUUCGAUCAUGCACUCAAAACUUACAAAAUUCCCGAUUAUUUCCUCGGGGGUCAUUAGUGUAUAUCUUGGGUUGCCACGAAUUAAUUGUACUUGAGUGGGGUUAAGAAAAAUAAGAGAUCUUAGAAUAACCUUAACCAUUUCGUGGUCAUCCCAUUUCUUGCUCCCGAGGUUGCGCACUUGAUUCACCAAGGUCUUGAGCCGGUUGUACAUGUUUUGUGGUUCUUCCCCUUUGCGAAGCUGGAACCGACCGAGCUCCCCCUCGAUUGUUUCCCGCUUGGUGAUCUUUGUGAGCUCAUCUCCUUCGUGUGCGGUUUUGAGCACAUCCCAAACCUCCUUGGCGCUCUUCAACCCUUGUACUUUGUUAUACUCCUCUCUACUUAGAGAGGCGAGGAGUAUUGUUGUUGCUUGAGAGUUGAAGUGCUCGAUUUGGGCCACUUCGUCCGUAUCGUAGUCUUCAUCCCCUACGGAUGGUACCUGUGCUCCAAACUCAACAACAUUCCAAAUACUUUUGUGGAGUGAGGUUAGAUGAAAUUUCAUUAAAUCACUCCACCUAGCAUAAUCUUCGCCAUCAAAAGUUGGCGGUUUGCCUAAUGGAACGGAAAGUAAUGGAGUAUGUCUAGAUGUACGAGAAUAGUGUAAGGGGAUCUUACUAAACUUCUUGCGCUCUUGGCGCUUAGAAGUUACGGACGGCGCAUCGGAGUCAGAGGUUGAUGUUGAUAAAGUGUCGGUCUCGUAGUAGACCACCUUCCUCAUCCUCUUAUGCUUGUCGCCUUUCCGAUGCGACUUGUGAGAAGAAGAUUUUUCCUUCUUCUCUUUGUGGUGUGAGGAAGAAGAUCUUUUCUCCUUCCGUUUGGAGGAGUCCUUCUUCUUCUCCUUCCUCUUGGUGCGGGACUCUUCCGAUGAAGUGCUCCCUUGGCUCGUAGUGGGCUUGUCGCCGGUCUCCAUCUCCCUCUUGGUGUGAUCUCCCGACAUCACUCCGAGCGGUUAGGCUCUAAUGAAGCACCGGGCUUUGAUACCAAUUGAAAGUCGCCUAGAGGGGGGGGUGAAUAGGGCGAAACUGAAAUUCUCAAAAAUAAUCACAACUACAAGCCGGGUUAGCGUUAGAAAUAUAAUCGAGUCCGCGAAAGAGGGUGCAAAACAAAUCACAAUCAAAUAAAGAGUGUGACACGCGGAUUUGUUUUACCGAGGUUUGGUUCUCGCAAACCUACUCCCCGUUGAGGAGGCCACAAAGGCCGGGUCUUUUUCAACCCUUUCCCUCUCUCAAACGAUCCCACGGAUCGAGUGAGCUUUCUCUUCUCAAUCACUUGGAACACAAAGUUCCCACAAGGACCACCACAAGAUUGGUGUUUCUUGCCUCAAUUACAAGUGAGUUUUGGUCGCAAGAAAGAAUCAAGAAAGAAGAAAGCAAUCCAAGCGCAAGAGCUCGAAAGAACACAAGCAAAUCUCUCUCUCUACUCACUAGGGCGUUGUGUGGAAUUUGGAGAGGAUUUGAUCUCUUUGGUGUGUCUAGAAUUGAAUGCUAGAGCUCUUGUAAGUAGUUGGGAAGUGGAAAACUUGGAUAACUUGAAUGUGAGGUGGUUGGGGGUAUUUAUAGCCCCAACCACCAAACUAGUCGUUUGGUGAGGCUGUCUGUUCGAUGGCGCACCGGACAGUCCGGUGCACACCGGACAUGUCCGGUGCGACAGCCACGUCACCAAAAGCUGUUGGGGUCGACCGUUGGAGCUCUGACUUCUGGGCCCGCCUGGAUGUUCGGUGGCGCACCGGACAUGCACUGUAGAUUGUCCGGUGCGCCAGCAUGGGCGUGCCUGACCUCUGCGCGCGCAGCGCGCGCAUUUAAUGCGUCGCAGGUAGCCGUUGGCGCCGAAAUAGCCGUUGCCCCGUUACACCGGACAGUCCGGUGUACACCGGACAGUCCGGUGAAUUUUAGCGGAGCAGCUGAAGUGAAAACCCGAGGGCUGGCGAGUUCCGGAGGCCGCUCUUCCUUGGAGCACCGGACAUGUCCGGUGUACACCGGACAGUCCGGUGAAUUAUAGCGGAGUUGUCUCUGGAAAUUCCCGAAGGUGAGCAGUUCGGAGUUGGAGUCCUCUGGUGCACCGGACAUGUCCGGUGGCCCACCGGACAGUCCGGUGCGCCAGACCAGAGGUGCCUUCGGUUGUCCCUUUGCUCUUUGGUUGAACCCAAUACUUGGUCUUUUUAUUGGCUAAGUGUGAACCUUUGGCACUUGUAUAACUUAUAUAAUAGAGCAAACUAGUUAGUCCAAUUAUUUGUGUUGGGCAAUUCAACCACCAAAAUUAUUUAGGAACUAGGUGUAAGCCUAAUUCCCUUUCAGUGGGCUCUGUGUAACUCCGGACUGUCCGGCGUAGGGUGCCGGACGGUCUGACGGAGGGCCGGACGGUCCGCAAUUGUGUGCGGACAGUCCGGCCGUGCUCAGAGUUGACUCACCAUUUAGCGAAGAUGGUGGUGACGCUCGUCCUAGAUAUGAGUCCAUCGGCAUACCAGAAUAUGGCUGGGGAAACCCAUUUGUUGCCGAUGUAUUUGGCGCAAUUGUUUUGGCGCCUAAUUUAUGUGAUAAAAAAAUAGGCAUGUGAGUUUUUCCUAAUGCAUGUGCCAUCCUUUCUAUAUCCUCCAUGAUAUUUUUAAUCUGAUUAUCAAAAGAAAUUUUAAUAAAUGGAAUAUCAUCGGCUGACCUGGCAUCACCUAUUGUGGAGAGCUGUUGCAGCACGGCUGACAUGUACUCGACGUUUAUCUCCCUCUCUUGGACGACCUUCUGGUGGCAAUCUACCCUGAAGUGCGAGAGGAACCACUUAUCCGCCACCUUGAGCACCUGAUCUGCUUGUCGCUGGACCUCCUCGUCUAUUUUCUUCAUGUCAUCUUUUAAUCUUUCACGCUCAGCGGCCGAUAAAUUAGUCAGCCUUGUGUUGCUGUUUGGAGAAGCACUGUUGAGAUCUUUAGAAUCGGCCAUGUAAGCCUGAUUUUGUAGACCUGCAACCUCUUCCCCAGCGGAGUCGCCAAAAAGUAUGUUGGCACCUUUUUGGGGCGCCAAUCACUCAACAAGAACCCAGCGGCGGUGCUCUCUGGUCAGGCGCGGACGGUCCGCGGCACAGGGCCGGACGGUUCGCGACCUGGCGCAGGGCUAGGGUUCCCUGCCUGAUGGCCGGACGGUCCGCGACCUGGUGACAGGGUCGUCUUCCUUCUCCUUGCUAGAAUCUAGAUCUCGUCCCCUGGGGGGAAAAGAUCUUAAGGUGCUCUGGGUCGACAGGUCACCCGGGGCGCCGAGACGACGUGGAGCCGCCUAGGAAUUAAGAGAUCAAUUCGAGGAAGAGGUUUUGGAUGGACAACUAGAUCUUGCCCCCCGGGAGGGGUGAGAUCCUAGGGUUGUCUUGGGAUCGGCAGGUCACCCAAGACGGAUCUAGACGACGUAGAGUCGAAUAGGGAUGGAGGGUGGAUAUGUGGAAGACUACAACUAGAACUAUGCUACAUCUACUCAUAGGGCAGGAAAAGUAAAUAAGGUAAUUGGUUCGAUUGGAAUGUGUUCGGGGGUUCUCAAUCGGUUGUACCCCUUUAUAUUUAUAGGGGAGGAGGUCUGGACCUUUUCCUAAGAGAUAGCCAACAAACUCCCGCGUGAUUAGAUGGAUAACCACGCACGAGAUAAGGAUAAACAUCCGAGUUAAUCUAAUCUCGGGACACGCGGACAGUCCGGGCCUAAGGGUCGGACCGUCCGCUCAUUUUGGUGUCCAACACAUGGAUUCAAAGCUUAUUUGGUGCUGAGGUUCUGGUUGUUCUUGUUCUUGGAGAACACAUCUCAGCCAGCGUCGCAUCAACGACAGACUAGCACAUCCUGAGAUUAUUAGGAUGAAUACAUAUAUACAUACAUACAUACAUACAUACAUACAUACAUACAUACAUACAUACAUAGGUGCACUCACCUUUAAGACACAACAACAAGACACAACAACAGGAGAAAUGUGUGUAAUGUUUCUGUACUUGCCGCGGAC